UCUCUGCCCCUUCCCCGUUCAUGCUCUGUCUCUCUCUGUCUCAAAAAUAAAUAAAAACAUUAAAAUAAAUAAAAUAUUAACGUUUUAGAGAAGGCAGUGUUUUUCUACGGAUAAAAGUUUGAAACAGUGUUUACUUCCUUUUCUAUUUUGUGUUUUACUAUAGAAGCACAGUAUUGUGUAUGUACAGCUUGUAAAUACAAGUCCAGCACAGACAUGUUUCAAAAACAAUUUUACUAACUGGGGUGGACUGUCAAAAUAGUGGGAGAAUACUGGUCUACUGAAGGGAAUGAGAGAGGUAUUUAACAUUCUUCCCGAUUAAGAGCUGAGGUGGAACAGAUCUAAAGACUAAGGCAGGGUAUAGUCAGACAACUGGAAAUCAGAAGGUGUUCACAGUAGUUUUGAAAAAUUAGACAGCUUCAAGCCCUAGAGUUCAAAGUGCCAGGAAAAACAGCCUACAGAUGUUUUUAGACAGUCAAUGCGCAGCAGAAGGGAGGGACAGAAGGGGUUUCCUGGAGAAGGGAGGCUCCUUGUGUGCUAAUGCUUCUGUGAAGGACCCCAGGAGUCCCGAUUCUCUGAAACUGCUUUUCAUCGGUGUAAGACAGAACUCUCUAGGCCUUCUGAUGCCUUUGAUAACUAUAUUGAAAUUUGACUUUGUCAAAAUGAGAUCUUACUAUAAAAUUACAUUUGUUGUAUUUCAAGACGAUAAACAGUGAGGAAGAACGGUACCUGUAUAUUCACUUGAUAAUCCGUGGGUCCGUGGAUAGAUCCAUACAAACCAAAUCCGACUAUAGAGAUUCUUCUAUUAACUGUGAACCUGAGAGAAUGAAGCCAAAUAUAAAAUAAUAUACAUAAUUCAUUAAGUAUUCAUAGUCUGAAGGCCUAUAAAAUUUUUAAGUGCUACCUGGAAUACACUUUGCUCAUAAAAAGGAAAACUAUCAUAAAUUUGAUAUCCUUGGAAGUGUCAUCUGCUUACCAAAAAACUCUUUCUAGAAAAAAUUUUAACUUAAUGGGAACCUAAGUAGAAGUUGUUUUCUGUACUGUACAUUUUUGAGAGUCAAAGGAAAUUAUUUAACCUAAAUGCCCACUUUUGUUGUAAUGACCAUCUUAAUGAUGUCUUAGUCCAAAUGUCUGCACAUCUUCAUGAUACAAAGGCCCAGAGCCCAGCAAGUCCAGUCUGUAACAACUUACCAGUUCUAUGAAUACUUACUAGGGGCCUGCCAGAGUUAAAUACUGGGCACCACACUGCGCUUAGAGCCCAAAGGAGGACACGAAUAAUAAAAAAGUAAACAAAGGGAUCAGUCAACAAUCGUAGGUUGGGGGAAGAGUUGUGAGGGAAGCUGCUGUAACAGAACACUGGUGGUGCAGGGCUGGCGCCAGGCCCUCACUUACACAGAUGGAUCAGAAUGAGGGUUCAUACUAGAACAAUCAGCAGGAACAGUUUGGCCAUAGGAGUUAAGAAACAGACCCAUCUUGCUCCACUUUACCAAUGUAGGAAAACUGACCGAGAGUACAAACAGCAUGAAAGAUGUAAUCAGAGAUAAUCCGUCACAUCAAGCAGUCACCCUCCACAUGUUCAGCAGCAACUUCGAUGAUCAAUAUUGUUACCGCCACGCCGAGUACUUCCUGUGCUGGGCGCUGCCCGGCCAUCCUUUUACAGGAAUUAUUUCCUUGAAUCAUUGUAAUGGCUGGAUAGACUAACACAGUGUUGUUCGUACCCCCGGUCUUUACAGUGGAGGCAACUGAGGUUUAGAGAAAUUAACUUGCCUGGGGCAAGAAGUGUGGCGGGCCAAAGGGCCCGCACUCCCCCACCGCUAUGCUAAAACUCCCAGCACAGGGCGAAGACCACCUUGACAUUUUUUAAAUAUGUCAUUUAUAAUAUAGUUUUUCCUUAUUUUAAAAAAGCAAGAUAUUCUCCGUGGGGGGAAAAAAGUAGAAAUGCAGCUAAUCAAAUAAGGAACAUUUUAAAGCAUCUCUAAGUCCCAUGUAGCUUUUGGUGCUUUCUCUUUUUAGACUUAGUUCUAUUUUCUAGCAAUGGGAAAAUAGACUUGUUUUCUAUGAACGUGUUAUUUACAAAUCAUCUCAGUUGUAUAUAUGUGUAUAAAUACUUCUUUUUCAUUUAAAAAGGUAAAAGGUUACUACUGCUCCACCAGAUCUGAUUUCUCAUUGUUGGAUAAUCCAGGUUAUUUGCAGUUUUUAUUAUGUGACAGUGCCAUGAGGAACAAUCUUGCAGCUAAAUCACUUUGCGGAGCCUUAAUUAUGUCCUGAGAACAAAUUCUUAGAAUUGCUGAGGAAAAUGAAAGGCGUGUUCUUAAGGCUUUAGAUAAAUGUUAUCAAACUGCUUUCCGGUGGAAGUGUUCACCCCACAGGGAACGAAGAUCGUUUCUAUCUGAUGCUCAGCAACCGUGAGUAUUUCUAUGUCUUUGUGCCACUGACAAACUGAUGACUGACAAAUUCUAUUCUUUUUUUCUUGGAUUAUUAAUGAGUUAAAACAUUUGCUCGAAUAUUUACCGUCUACUGGAUUUUCUCUUUAAUAAAAUACUCAUGUUCUUUCCCCAUUUUUCUCUGCUGCUGAGUGUCUCUUUCAUGUGGAUUUGAAAGACCACGUUAUAUAGCUAUGCUCUGUCAGUAACUAUCCAUUAUGGCAAGUGUCCUGUUUGUCAUUUAUUAACUUCAUGGUGGCUGUGGACACAAAAACUUUGGAUUACCUGUAGUCGUAUUAUGACCCCUGCCAAGUGGAGAGAGGCCUAUCUCCUCUGCAUCACAGUCACGUGUUCUUUUUUUUUAAUAUUAAAUAAAUGGAUACAAAUAUUGGCAGAUGAUAUCAGCAGGGAAUCAAACUGUAUUUUCCCAGUGGUUGAUCCUUUCCUCAUCUUCUAAGUUUCUCCCCUCAUAUUCUAUGCUCAUUUAGGUCAGUCUGCUUCCUGGACUCUGUAGAGUGUUCCAUACGGCACGAACUUACUUUAACUUUACAGUAGUCUUACAUUUGAUCCAUACUGCUCUUUUAAAAAGAGAAAAUUUACUCUUCCAGCUUAAUUUUAGAGUAACUGGGCCAAGCCAAUGCUUCCUGCCAAGAGCACGUCACUCCUGCAGGGAGCUGCAGUCCACGCACUUAGCUCGGCAAGACAAUGGCUACAGGCAAGGUUCUCCGGUUCUCCAUGAAGGUGCUGUUCUGUCUGCUUCCUGCGGAAUCUAUUCCUGUUCCUUUAUGUUGUCACCAUUAUUUUUACUGAUCCUGAGGUCAUCGGGAUGGAUCAACUGUUCUCAAAAAGAGUCCCAGCCCCACGGAGACCAUGCUCUGUUUCCCACAAAGGCUCAGGGGUUCCAGUGGCAGCAAGAUUUACUGCAAUGAUCAGGACGGUCUCUGAAAACAAAGAAUCCCAGCCAAUUUUCAGGUGUCCUGUCGGAAUUCAUGUAGGUGAAAAACUUGUUUAUAACUACAAGAGCUCAACCUAAGUCCACUUUAUUGACAAACUACAGAUUUCGGCAUUGUUAUAAAGCAAGAUUACUCCUGCAGACAGUGUGUGUCUUCCGUCUGAGCACAGGAAGGAAUUAAGGUAUUACACUCAACCCCCAGUUCUCCUUGCAGAGCAAGGGUCCCCGAGUCUUCAGCAUCGCACAGUGUUUCAGCACAAACCAAUAAUUUUUAUGGCAAUUUUAAUAUUCAGUGACUUUUACAAGAUGUUACUACCAUAUAAAUAGAGGAAAUAUUAUACAGUCAAUUCUCACUAUUUGUAGUAAUUAUAUUCUAUAAAGUUGCCACAGAUACUAAACCAUUGCUCCUACGGGGAACAUGUGUACACACGUACCCACACACCCCCCUCUCACAUGGGUUGUAACCUUAAAUCCCCCAAACAACUCAUCCUCGGAGGUUCCAUCUUAUUUUACAAAAGAGAAAACAGGAGUUCAGAAGUGUUAAGUGACUCGCCUGAGGCCACCCCCAACAGGUGCAGGGUUAGGGGUCAGCUGCCCAAAUGGCCCCGGGGCCAGUGUCUGGCUCUACACUGCGCUGCCCCUGCUGUCUCCGUUUCCUCAGGAGGGGGUCACCUGUGCGACCUCAAAUAGGAACAUACCUCCGGGCAACUCAGGUCUGUGAUAAGGAAGCGCUGCAAGUAUUGAUUUGGGAGUACAGGGAAGCUUUAGUGAGCAGGCGAGCUGCAAAUCUGGAAACUAAACAAACAGGAUUGACCGUACUGUUUUAUUUGAAACCUUUAAAAAAAAAAAAUGACAUGAUUGGCAGCAACGCUGCUCACGCUUUUUGACACAUUAACACAAUACACCUGCCCCGGCAGCCUGUGUGGCACGCACACAGGUGCUUCCGGCUGCCUCCUGGUGUCCUGCUCAAGCAUCUACGUACUGAAGGACGGGUUUUAUUUCAUCUCCGUUACGUUUACUGCUCCGUUACAUUAGAGCUAGGUCAUUAUGUUGACCAAAAACAAUGCGUGAGGUAUACAGUCUAUGAAUUUCACCAGGUUACUAAAGAGGGAGUACAAAAUGUUUUAUUAUAAGAAAGGGAAAAGUGGUACUAAUGUAGAUAAUGUCAUCUGCAAAUUCUGAAAAAGACUUCUUCCCUUCCAAUAUUCAGGGUUCUAAUUCCUUUAUCCUUCAUGACGACGUCACCCAGAAUUCUAAGAAUGCUGCUGAAGUACAACGGUGCUGGCCAGCAUCCCUACCCUGAGGUUUCAACAGUGAAUCGCGUUCAAGAUCUUCUAGACCUAGUCUAUUAGUAGUUACAUCUGGAAUGAAGGUGAAAUUUUAUCAAGUCUUUCCGAUAUCUACUCCAACAAUCAAAUCGCUUUUCUUCUUUCAUCUGCUGCUGUGGUGAAUAUAUAUUAAUACAUUUUUUCAAUCUUCAAAUAAACCCUGUUUGCUCAGUUAUUUUCUGAGGUAUUGCUAGAUUUAAGACACUGAUACCUUACGUAGAAGUUGUUCUUCUCUAUAAAUGAGAUCGAUCUAGAAACUUUCUUGUUUUAUCAAACUCCUGUAUAAGGGUUAUGCUUCUUUCAAUAAUGAACCAAGAAGUAUUUUCUUCUUUUAAUGCUCAAGGACCUGUUCCUUGAAGGUUUGAUAAAACUCACCUGUAAAAACCACCUUGUGAAGGGACAGUUCUUUGAUAACUUUUAAUUUCUUCCAUUGGUAACUGGUCUAUUCAGGCUUUCUUCUUCAGUCAAUUUUGAUAAUUUAUAUUUGCCUAUAAAAUGAUCCAUUCCAUCAAGAUGUUCAAUUUAUUAGCACAGAGUAAACUCAGAAUUAAAAUAAAAACUGCCUUAGUA